GGGGAAAAAAUACCCGCUUGUCCGUCCUGUCCCUUCAGGCUGCGCAACGCUGGAGGGCGAUGGGAGCUCCACACAGGUGGGACGAGCCUAGCAGCACAAAUCAGAGCGAACGACGUGAAAAGAGUUCUGUUUCUCCUGGAAGGAUGCCACUUGUUUCUACUCCAGGGGAAAUGUCUUCCAAGCUCUUUACCAAAUCUGCAAGCUGAACCAACUCAACUGUGGCUGCCUUGCCCACCUGAAGACCUCAGGAUCCACCAGCAGCCCAAGACACCUCGGAAGCUGUUUCAAGCACCAUGGAAAACCCACACACAAGUGAAGCCCCGACCCACCUCCCAAGUGCCCAUCUGAGCACCCCUCGUGGACUCUGAGCAGGGGGUUGCCAUCACCAACUCCAAGUCUUGCAGCCCCUCUUCCCUUCAGUCUGGCUGCCACCUUCUUCAUUGCCCUGGAAAAAAAUAAUGAAGUUUCACCAUUUAAAGGGUUUCAGUGCAGCUUGCUAUGGGAACACUGGAGAGUAACACAAAUGGCCAAUUGUCCUAAUAGCCACCAUGGAUUGGAUGGAUGCUAACAACAGGCUCACAGUUCUCCUUCUGUUGCCUCCUUUUAUCCACAUGAGAAUCAAACAAGUAGGUGCUGCUGGUAUUACUGUAUUUUUCUCAUUUUAAAGAUCAGGAUGGGGAGGGUUGAGGAGGUUAAGGAAGUUGUUAGAAGUUACACUGAAGUUAAGAAAGGAAAAAGGACUUAGAAACUUAUUCUUCCAACUUUAGAACCACGGUCAGUGACCAAGGCCCUGCUUAGAACUUUCUGAAGGUUGCAGCUGGCCUUCUACCUGGAGUUUUGACUUCCUUUCCGAGAAAGGAACUUGAAUGGCAAUCACAAGAAAGUUGAGAACUUCUCUUUCAUAUUUUAAGCAUUCAUUUUUUUUUAUAUUUAUUUUAAUUUACAAAUACUAAUUGUAUAUAUGUAUAAGGUAAGAUAUGAUAGUUUGAUAUGGCUACCUUGUAAUAAAAUGAGCCUCAUUACC
rnacentral:lncRNA from 1 species